rnacentral:lncRNA from 1 species
GGCUAUGUAGAAUAGAUAUUAAUUCAUUUUUGAAAGAUAUUGAUAAAAUAUAUUAAUAGUCCAUAUAAUAGGAAAUUUAGGAGGACAGAUGAGUGAUUUAGUUAUUAAAAGUGAUUAAUUAUAGAAUUACGAUUAGAAUCUGGAGAAUCAAGGGAAAGUAUAUAGGAGUUGUAGAAGUUAAUUAAGAUGCCAUCGCUGUGAUAGUUGUGAGCUGGGGUAAGCUUGGUGCUACUUCUUUUCUUUUGUUUGUUAUUUUCUUUGAAUAA